rnacentral:lncRNA from 1 species
CUGGCCUGGCUCUGGUGACCCCCUGGAAGGAGGUGCUCUGACGGGAUCCUCAUCUCCCUCGUCUGAAGCAGCUCCCGCUGUCCCCUCUCCCUGCUCUAGUGCGGUGUGUUUCAGAUGACAGGUCCGGGCCAUUGGUGGGUGACAAACGAAGUAGUGGGUGAGGCCACUAGCGUUCGUUUGCUUGUUUUUAAUGGAAUAGAGGAUAGAAGAGGACAGACUGGAUACCAUACGUAAGUGUGGGGAGCGAUUCCUCAAACGCGUACAGUUAUAUACACGUGGUGGCAAAGUAAAGUGUACUCCUCUGGCGAGGCGGUCAUGGAAACAGGAAACAUGGUGCUUCGGAGCACCGGCUCUGACCCCCGGCCACACGGGAGAAUCCCCUGGGGCUUAAAGCCCCCAGGGGCGCAGGCUCCAUCUACACCAAUUGAUUCAGACCUCUGGAGGGGUGGCCAGGCAGCCACUGCUCCCUGGAGAAGAGGCACGCAGGUCUCAGAAUGACUUGUCAAGAGCAGUGGUGCCAGGUGGGCACCCAUGGGCCACCCACAGGAAGGAACUGGCGCAAAUCUCUUGGUGAGCACUGCAGGUCGUCCUGAAGCCACGGAGAAGCUGGGGACAGUGGGAGCCAGCCGCUGCUCAGAGCGGCUGCCAGGGCCCAGGGGGGGUCCAAGAACCCAGCCACAGCCACACAGGGAAGUGAGAACACUGGCCCCGGUAACAUCCGACAGCACAGCUUAUGUCUGUGGAACCCAGUAAGGAACAACGUGGGCCUUUAGAUCCUAUCUUUCCAGGGUUUUUCUCUUUCCAUUUCAUUUUCCUGUAGCUCGUAUUUAUUACAUUUUAUAUGACUACGGGUAUAUGGCUGACUGCACUGAUUGGCACACGACAUAAAAUAGCACGUAUCCUUUGUCCAGACCAUUUGCAGGGCGAGCCUUCAGAGAGCAUUGGAACCCGUGGCCUCCUCUCAGGAAGGGAGGCCCAGCCCCCUGCAGGGGCGCCACAGGCUGGUCUCCACAACCAUCCAGGGGUGAAGGGUUCUGGCUGAGCCAUAAGCCAACCUCAUGUAGGUCUGUGACGAAACCAGUGCCCAGCCCGGGCGUGUCCCCUACCUGAGGUGAGGCCGGGCCCGGAGCUGGAUGAGGAGGCAGACGUGAAAUGAGAGUUGACCAGCUUUGUCCCUGCUCCCUCUCUGGACCUGGCAUGUUUGGUAACUGCAGCCUCCAGCCUCACCAAGCUCAGCUCCACCUCCGUCUGGAGGCCUCGGGCAUUUGCGACGUCUCCCUUGCAGAGCACUGCCUUUGCAGAGAGCUGCAGGCAAAACUCAGAGGCCAAGGGUGACUCCUGUCGCACCACGUCCAGUCCACCAGGUGACCUUGCCAGCUCUACCUUCACACAGACCCUAAAUCCUAAGCCCGUAUUUCACCCUGCCCAGUGCCCUCGGAGUGGCCGUCCUCUCCCACCUGGACCACCUCAACACCUUCCUGCAGCCCAUUCUCCAAAGAGUGGACACAGUGGCUUAGAAACCCUCCAAAAUCCCAUCACAGCCUCCAGGAGCUGCCUAGCUCACCUCCCUCUAGCCUCUGCUUCUGCUCCCCGGCCUCCUUACUGUGCCCUCAACACCCUUGGUGUUCGUGCAGCUCCCUUGGGCCACUCAAUGGGCUCAAGACCUUUCCGGGUGGUCCUGUUCACAGAAAUGCUGUUGCUCUUCACCUCCAG